UUAGCUAGCUAGCUACUGGUGAUCAGGCACGAGCUAGCCGGCCAUGGCGAGGCGUCGCCAUGCUUGCUUUCUUCUCCUGCUGCCUCUGCUGGUGCUGCAGCUUCUUCUUGCUGGGGGAAGCUUGGUUGAUGAUCUUCCUGCUGCAACUCAUCAGGUGCCGAGGUUAGUAGGGCCACAGCGCAAGUUACAGCAGCUUCCAAACCCAAGGCCACAGCCGCAACCAUUGCCCCAGCCAAACCCAAAUCCACAGCCACAACCACUCCCACAGCCACAGCCACAGCCACAACCACAACCACAACCUCUGCCACAACCGCAGCCGCAACCACAGCCUUUACCGCUACCAGGCCCACAACCAUUACCGCAACCCGGCCCGCAGCCGAACCCAAACCCCCAACCGUUACCACAGCCAAACCCAAAUCCCCAGCCUUUACCUCAGCCAGACCCGAACGCUCCGCCGUUGCCUCUGCCGCAGCCUAACCCAAACAACCCGCAACCUCUGCCGCAGCCAGACCCUAACGCGCCAUCACUACCUCUGCCGCAGCCAGACCCAAACGCGCCACCACUGCCUCUGCCACAACCUGAUCCGAACGCGCCACCACAACCUUUGCCGCAACCAGACCCAAACAACCCUCAACCUUUACCGCAACCUGACCCUAACGCACCACCACAGCCUUUGCCGCAACCAGACCCUAACUCGCCGCCACAGCCUUUGCCGCAACCAGACCCGAACACGCCUCCUGGCCAACAAAUUAAUGCAAAGAUAUCAUCACAGCCGGAUUCUAUUGGUGGAGCCAGAACUUUAUAUCCAUACGGUGUAAU
rnacentral:lncRNA from 1 species